AGAAGCGUAUGUGUGUUGGUGCCUUGAACUCAUAUAUGAGCCUCGUAUUUAUAGGAAAAAUGAAGAAUGAAAUCUAGAAACCUAAAAGUGUAGUUCUGUUGAAAAGGAAGUGUACUACAAUACUACAUACGACUAUUGUACCGUGGCGCGUUAUUAAAUUUUUAUCCCGUUGAAACGAAGAAAGCAUGUUAUUGAAUUUUAUCCCGGUUGAAAAAGAGAAAAACGCGUUUUUUUUUAAAUUUAUCUUGGAAUUUAAGUACUGUGUCACGGUACCUAGGGCUGAGCAAAAAAAACCCCGAAAACCCGAAAAAUCGAACCUUAACCGAACCGAAAAAUUGGGUACCCGAACCGUUUAAAGGAUUCGGGUCGGGUAGCGGGUACCCGUCAACACAGUUUCGGGUACCCGAAUUACCUGAAAAUCUAAAAUGUCAGUUUUAAAAAAAAAAAUUGAAACAGAAGGUUUUGAAAGGCUGAAAACCGUGUUUUGUAUUUAAAAAAAAAAAAAAAGACAAACAAAAGAAACGAACCCUAAUUUUACUCACUCACUCACUCAGCCUCCAUCAGACCAUCACCCUCUCUCUCCUCCUCCUCCUCCUCCUCCUCCUCUCUCUCCUCCUCCUCCUUUAAUAUCUGGUUCUCUGAUCAAUAUGAGUAUAUUCUUUAUCAGCAGUUAUCCAGUUAUCUCAAGUAAUUAUCUCUUUUCCAGAUCUAAUUAUUUGCAAUGAAUUCAAUUUUUCCUCUAAUUAGUGAAACUCUUGUUCUCUCAGACUCUCAGUAUUCUCACAAGUCACAACUCACAACUCAGAACCAUGGUGUACUGGUGUUCCUCGUUUACAGCUUUACGCUUAGUCACUUGUGAGGUCUCCAUUGAAGCAGCUUGUGAGCUUUCUCUUCCAUUGAAGCGUGCUCUGAGACUUAGGUCUCCAUUGUAGCGGCUUGUGAGCUUUCUCUGCUCCAUUGAGAUUUGAGGCAACUUCAUUAUAAGGAGUGUAUGGAAUUUGGAAGUAGUGGGGAGAUGGAAGACUCAUCGGCUA